GUCGGUGGUCGUGUAGGUGAGCACGAAGUCGAGGCUGACGUUCUUGAGCAUCGCCUUGAAGCUCGGGAUCGUGACCUUGCCGCCGACG
rnacentral:tRNA from 1 species